AGCCUUUCGAAAGAAAGAUUAAUACCUGAUGGUAUGAUGAGAUUGCAUGAUAGCAUCAUUAAAGAUUUAUCGGUGUACGAUGGGGAUGCGUUCCAUUAGGUAGUAGGCGGGGUAACGGCCCACCUAGCCAACGAUGGAUAGGGGUUCUGAGAGGAAGGUCCCCCACAUUGGAACUGAGACACGGUCCAAACUCCUACGGGAGGCAGCAGUGAGGAAUAUUGGUCAAUGGACGAGAGUCUGAACCAGCCAAGUAGCGUGAAGGAUGAAGGUCCUACGGGUUGUAAACUUCUUUUAUAAGGGAAUAAACCCUCCCACGUGUGGGAGCUUGUAUGUACCUUAUGAAUAAGCAUCGGCUAACUCCGUGCCAGCAGCCGCGGUAAUACGGAGGAUGCGAGCGUUAUCUGGAUUUAUUGGGUUUAAAGGGAGCGCAGACGGGUCGUUAAGUCAGCUGUGAAAGUUUGGGGCUCAACCUUAAAAUUGCAGUUGAUACUGGCGUCCUUGAGUGCGGUUGAGGUGUGCGGAAUUCGUGGUGUAGCGGUGAAAUGCUUAGAUAUCACGAAGAACUCCGAUUGCGAAGGCAGCACACUAAUCCGUAACUGACGUUCAUGCUCGAAAGUGUGGGUA
rnacentral:rRNA from 1 species